rnacentral:rRNA from 1 species
UACGUAGGGUGCGAGCGUUGUCCGGAAUUAUUGGGCGUAAAGCGCGCGUAGGCGGUUACUCAAGUCGGAUGUGAAAGCCCUCGGCUUAACUGAGGAAGUGCACCCGAAACUGAGUAGCUAGAGUACCAAAGAGGGUCGCGGAAUUCCCGGUGUAGAGGUGAAAUUCGUAGAUAUCGGGAGGAACACCGGUGGCGAAGGCGGCGACCUGGGUGGAUACUGACGCUGAGGCGCGAAAGCGUGGGGAGCAAACAGG